rfam:Triticum aestivum genome assembly, contig: Triticum_aestivum_CS42_TGACv1_scaffold_405707_5BL
AAUGUACUCCCUCCGUCCGGAAAUACUUGUCGUAGAAAUUGAUGAAAAUGAAUGCAUCUAGAACAAAAAUACAUCUAGAUACAUCCAUCUUCCCGACAAGUAUUUCCGGGCGGAGGGAGUAUAAU